rnacentral:rRNA from 1 species
CCUACGGGAGGCAGCAGUGGGGUAUAUUGGACAAUGGGGGGAAGCCUGAUCCAGCGACGCCGCGUGAGUGAAGAAGGCUUUCGGGAUGUAAAGCUCUGUCAGCAGGGAGGAAAGAGAUGACGGUACCUGACCAAGAAGCCCCGGCUAACUCCGUGCCAGCAGCCGCGGAAAUACGUAGGGGGCAAGCGUUAUCCGGAAUUACUGGGUGUAAAGGGGGCGUAGACGGUUCGGUAAGUCUGGAGUGAAAGGCCGGGGCGCAACCCGGGGACUGCUCUGGAAACUAUUGAACUUGAGUGCAGGAGAGGUAAGCGGAAUUCCUAGUGUAGCGGUGAAAUGCGUAGAUAUCAGGAGGAAAACCAGUGGCGAAGGCGGCUUACUGGACUGUAACUGACGCUGAGGCUCGAAAGCGUGGGGAGCAAACAGGAUUAGAUACCCCAGUAGUC